GACGAACGCUGGCGGCGUGCCUAACACAUGCAAGUCGAGCGAGAAAGUCCCUUCGGGGGCGAGUACAGCGGCGAACGGGUGAGUAACACGUGGGCAACCUGCCCCAAGGAGCGGGACAACCUCGGGAAACCGGGGCUAAUACCGCAUGACCCGCCACGGCUCAAGCCGUGUCGGCAAAAGGUCGCUUCGGCCUCCGCCUUGGGAUGGGCCCGCGGCGCAUUAGCUUGUUGGUGAGGGUAACGGCCCACCAAGGCGACGAUGCGUAGCUGGUCUGAGAGGACGAUCAGCCACACUGGGACUGAGACACGGCCCAGACUCCUACGGGAGGCAGCAGUGGGGAAUCUUGCGCAAUGGGCGAAAGCCUGACGCAGCAACGCCGCGUGAGGGACGACGGCCCUCGGGUUGUAAACCCUCUUUCAGGCGGGGACGAGGCCGACGCGGUUAAUACCCGCGAGCGGUGACGCUACCCGCAGAAGAACG
rnacentral:rRNA from 1 species